UAUGACUCUCGGCAAUGGAUAUCUUGGCUCUUGCAUCGAUGAAGAGCGCAGCGAAAUGCGAUACGUGGUGUGAAUUGCAGAAUUCCGUGAACCAUCGAAUUUUUGAACGCAAGUUGCGCCCGAGGCCAAUUGGCUAAGGGCACGUCCGCCUGGGCGUCAAGCAUU
rnacentral:rRNA from 4 species